CAGAUCGUACGAUAUUUUUACCCCCUCCUGCCAUUACACUCCAUGCUGUUUACCUCGGGAAGGGGUAAAAAUAUCGCACGAUCUGGCAGCACACACAGUCAGAUACCGAAAAGAAGUCUGAGAAGGAAGAUAGAAAUACAGAGAUUCAAAAUUUAAAAAAAAAAAUGGAAAUUUUGAAAAACGAAAAUGAAGAACUGAAAAAACAAUUGCGCACAAAAGAUGAAGUCAUCAAAAAAGUUCUAACUAUGAGCGAACCGUUCGCUGCGAACGUAUCAGUUCUACUGAUACGUUCGAUGACUCAAGUGUAACAUACGUUCCACAAAGGAAAAAAAUAAACCGUAACCGGAAUUUUUACAAACCCGGCAAUCGGCGUCAAAGAAUUUAAGUCAAUUAAGACAAAUCCAAGACAACGAGUCUUUAAUUUCACUUGGUUGGCGUAAAUGGGUACUAAGUAAGACAACUAAGUCAAAAGCAAGUCUAAACCGAAUGAAUUUUCGUAUCUUAAAAUAUGAAAACACAUUUGGUUUUGACUUACUUUUGAUUAAGUUGAGCUGAUUAAGAUGCCGAGUUCUUUAUAUUUAAAUAAUAAGCACAAUUAAUUUUUAAUGGAAUACAAUAAUUAUAAACUUUUAUAAUUAAAAAUAUUAAUUAAUGGAUAAAUACUAUUCUGUGUAAAGUAUAAUUAAUUAUAAAUUUAAUGCACCAUUCUAAUCAGGUAUUUUUUAGGCUCACGAUACAAUUCGUGAAAAAUAUAUUAUUAUUAUUAGUAAUAUUUUUUUUUUUUAGCAAUUAAUCGAGGUAAUAAGAUGAUAAAGCGGUGCUUUUUUCAUGUUAACGUAACAUUAUAAAUUAAUUAACAAAAUCCUUAUUAAAAAGCUCAAAAAAAAUUAUAUAUUUUUAUUCUUUAUCUAAAUCUCUUAAUAAAAAAAUCAUAAUUUUUUUAAAUUUGUUUUGCAGUUGGCUAAAGCACAAACUCAAAACAAAAUGAGACUCACUAACUAAAAAUAAAUAAAUCAAAAAAAUAUUUUUUAUAAUCUUAUUUAUACACCGACAUCAUAGUGCUUAGAAAUCGUAAUCCACAAAUUAAAUGUUUGUUUUAUUAAACUACAGAAUAAAAUCACACUUUACUCUCUGUUUGGGUAAAAAAAAAAAAAAUAA